rnacentral:snoRNA from 1 species
UGUGAGAAUGAUGAGUUGCACUGAAAAGUUGGCGUGUUGUUGCAGUGGCAACAAAACCCCAAUCCGAACCACCCUGGGGGACACACCUUGUGCACAGGGGCCAUCUGACUCCAC